AGAAAAAUGAAGUGUGUUAACAUUCGAUGCUCGAAAAACAUGGCCAGAAGAAAGCCAGGAAGAGACCGUGAUGAGUCCACUCCAGGGCAGAAGUGGGUGCAGGCCUGUGAGGCCCUGGCUGCCAGAUUCCAGAGCAAAGGGAAGCAGUUGCUGCAGAUCGCAUUUGAUUAUGGAUAAUUGAAGGCCAAGAAGAGUUGGAACUGGGCGAAUGCCCCAGAACUAAUCCCUUUCAAAAGGACAGAGAAAAAAAUUACCAACCUCUGCUCCAGAGCAGCGACAACAGUCGUGGAAAUCUAUGAAUGGGAUGGAGAGUCAUUGAGGAUGCAAGAUCAACAGUGUGGCAGGAGACAGAGCAGGAAGGGGAUCUUGUUUCUCUCACAUCCCCUACCCCUACCUACAUUACCAUACAGCCCAGGAGGUUCCUCUAGCUUGCACCAAGUAUGGCAAGCUGCUAUAAUUCCCCUUCACCAUGAUGGAUGCAGUAAGAGGCUCUGGACAGAUGCUGGUACUCUGUGGAUUUUCAAGAUUAUGGAAAAUAAAU